rnacentral:rRNA from 1 species
AUUGAACGCUGGCGGCAGGCCUAACACAUGCAAGUCGAGCGGAUGAAGAGAGCUUGCUCUCUGAUUUAGCGGCGGACGGGUGAGUGAUGCCUAGGAAUCUGCGUGGUAGUGGGGGAUAACGUCCGGAAACGGGCGCUAAUACCGCAUACGUCCUACGGGAGAAAGCAGGGGACCUUCGGGCCUUGCGCUAUCAGAUGAGCCUAGGUCGGAUUAGCUAGUUGGUGAGGUAAUGGCUCACCAAGGCUACGAUCCGUAACUGGUCUGAGAGGAUGAUCAGUCACACUGGAACUGAGACACGGUCCAGACUCCUACGGGAGGCAGCAGUGGGGAAUAUUGGACAAUGGGCGAAAGCCUGAUCCAGCCAUGCCGCGUGUGUGAAGAAGGUCUUCGGAUUGUAAAGCACUUUAAGUUGGGAGGAAGGGCAGUAAGUUAAUACCUUGCUGUUUUGACGUUACCGACAGAAUAAGCACCGGCUAACUUCGUGCCAGCCGCCGCAGUAACAC